CAAAGCAAAGCUAAGUUUAGUAUCUCACUUACAUUGAGAAGAGUAUUCGAGUGAAACCGAUUUGUUUUGA
rnacentral:tRNA from 2 species